GGAAUAUUGGGCAAUGGAGGAAACUCUGACCCAGCGACGCCGCGUGCGGGAUGAAGGCCUUCGGGUUGUAAACCGCUUUCAGCAAGGAAGAAGCGAAAGUGACGGUACUUGCAGAAGAAGCACCGGCUAACUAUGUGCCAGCAGCCGCGGUAAUACAUAGGGUGCAAGCGUUGUCCGGAAUUAUUGGGCGUAAAGAGCUCGUAGGUGGUUCGUCACGUCGGAUGUGAAACUCUGGGGCUUAACCCCAGACCUGCAUUCGAUACGGGCGAGCUUGAGUAUGGUAGGGGAGUCUGGAAUUCCUGGUGUAGCGGUGGAAUGCGCAGAUAUCAGGAGGAACACCAAUGGCGAAGGCAGGACUCUGGGCCAUUACUGACACUGAGGAGCGAAAGCGUGGGGAGCGAACAGGAUUAGAUACCCUGGUAGUCCACGCCGUAAACGGUGGGCACUAGUUGUGGGAACCUUCCACGGUUUCCGCGACGCAGCAAACGCAUUAAGUGCCCCGCCUGGGGAGUACGAUCGCAAGAUUAAAACUCAAAUGAAUUGACGG
rnacentral:rRNA from 1 species